rnacentral:rRNA from 1 species
CUGGCGGCGUGCCUAAUACAUGCAAGUAGAACGCUGAAGAGAGGAGCUUGCUCUUCUUGGAUGAGUUGCGAACGGGUGAGUAACGCGUAGGUAACCUGCCUUGUAGCGGGGGAUAACUAUUGGAAACGAUAGCUAAUACCGCAUAACAAUGGAUGACACAUGUCAUUUAUUUGAAAGGGGCAAUUGCUCCACUACAAGAUGGACCUGCGUUGUAUUAGCUAGUAGGUGAGGUAACGGCUCACCUAGGCGACGAUACAUAGCCGACCUGAGAGGGUGAUCGGCCACACUGGGACUGAGACACGGCCCAGACUCCUACGGGAGGCAGCAGUAGGGAAUCUUCGGCAAUGGGGGCAACCCUGACCGAGCAACGCCGCGUGAGUGAAGAAGGUUUUCGGAUCGUAAAGCUCUGUUGUAAGUCAAGAACGAGUGUGAGAGUGGAAAGUUCACACUGUGACGGUAGCUUACCAGAAAGGGACGGCUAACUACGUGCCAGCAGCCGCGGUAAUACGUAGGUCCCGAGCGUUGUCCGGAUUUAUUGGGCGUAAAGCGAGCGCAGGCGGUUUGAUAAGUCUGAAGUUAAAGGCUGUGGCUCAACCAUAGUUCGCUUUGGAAACUGUCAAACUUGAGUGCAGAAGGGGAGAGUGGAAUUCCAUGUGUAGCGGUGAAAUGCGUAGAUAUAUGGAGGAACACCGGUGGCGAAAGCGGCUCUCUGGUCUGUAACUGACGCUGAGGCUCGAAAGCGUGGGGAGCGAACAGGAUUAGAUACCCUGGUAGUCCACGCCGUAAACGAUGAGUGCUAGGUGUUGGAUCCUUUCCGGGAUUCAGUGCCGCAGCUAACGCAUUAAGCACUCCGCCUGGGGAGUACGACCGCAAGGUUGAAACUCAAAGGAAUUGACGGGGGCCCGCACAAGCGGUGGAGCAUGUGGUUUAAUUCGAAGCAACGCGAAGAACCUUACCAGGUCUUGACAUCCCGAUGCUAUUUCUAGAGAUAGAAAGUUACUUCGGUACAUCGGUGACAGGUGGUGCAUGGUUGUCGUCAGCUCGUGUCGUGAGAUGUUGGGUUAAGUCCCGCAACGAGCGCAACCCCUAUUGUUAGUUGCCAUCAUUCAGUUGGGCACUCUAGCGAGACUGCCGGUAAUAAACCGGAGGAAGGUGGGGAUGACGUCAAAUCAUCAUGCCCCUUAUGACCUGGGCUACACACGUGCUACAAUGGUUGGUACAACGAGUUGCGAGUCGGUGACGGCAAGCUAAUCUCUUAAAGCCAAUCUCAGUUCGGAUUGUAGGCUGCAACUCGCCUACAUGAAGUCGGAAUCGCUAGUAAUCGCGGAUCAGCACGCCGCGGUGAAUACGUUCCCGGGCCUUGUACACACCGCCCGUCACACCACGAGAGUUUGUAACACCCGAAGUCGGUGAGGUAACCUUUUGGAGCCAGCCGCCUAAGGUGGGAUAGAU